AAUUCAGACUGAAAACACAGUAACUCCUCUGGCCCUUGCUGGGAAAUGUCCUGCGCAGGCCAUGGGCAGCACUCCAGUGCAGCUGACCUCCCACAAGGCCCCCAAACACAUGAUCCCACCAAAGGCUUGAACAGGGGAACCUCACAAGCAGGCAGAGAGCACACCUGAGACACAAGGACAAGUAAGUCAAGCAAAUGGGACUGAGAUUAAAGCCAGUGAAUAAAACUAAAGGUCACUUUAAAGGAGUAUAAAGCUACAGUGGACAUAACGUGGCAUAGGUGAUCUUGACACCACAGAACUGUGAAGCCUGCAAUCCUACAAUAUAGAGGGGUAUGAGGAAGACAUCUCAGGAUACUGAAGAGUGUUGCAGAGGACCCACAAAUAGUCCUGAGCAUGAGAUGGUGGACAACAAACCCAUUUUUGGUGUGUUGCAGCAAGAGCGCUGGCCUGCCAUGAUCUGCUACAUUCUACCUGGAAAUACAAGUCAGAAGUCAGCCUGUCAUAUUUUUUCAAAAGGUGACUUGUCAAAAUGAGACUUCUUUCAUAAAAUCAGUCUGGUUGGGCAUGGUGGCUCACGCCUGUAAUCCUAGCACUUUGGGAGGCUGAAGUAGGUGGAUGGCUUGAGCCCAGGAGUUUGAGACCAGCCUGGGCAACAUGGCAAAAUCCCAUCUCUACAAAAAAUACAAAAAUUAGCCGGGCAUAGUGUCACACACCUGUGGUCCCAGCUACUCAGGAGACUGAGAUGGGAGGAUCACCUGAGCCCGGGAGGUUAAGGCUGCAGUGAGCCAGGAUUGGGCCACUGCACUACAGCAUGGGUGACAGAGUGAAAUGCUGUCUCAAAAAACAACAACAAAAAAUCUCUCAAUCUGUCCAAAUAGUUAGAUUGUCUUCAGUAAUCUUUCCAUCGCGAUCUUGCUUUGUUUCUACUACUACUCUGAUGCUACAUAAUUAAGGUCACCAAUCGUUGUCACUGUCUUUCCAAACCUGUUGUUCCUUACUUCCUCCGGCCAUUCUUCCUUGUCCCCCUCCCAUUCAUCAUCCAGACACACACACACACACACACACACACACACACACACACACACACAUACAUUUUAACAAUACCAAACUCCUUGUAGUUCCCCUAAAUGAAUCAUGUUGUUUCCCUUACCUGAAAUGCCCAAUCCCUUUUUUAUUUUCAUUGCUAACUCCUCUCAUCUUUCCAGAGUGUUCACGUCUACCAGGAGUGUUCUUGUCCCUCCCAUUCCUUUCUACUCUAGCUCCACUCACAGUUCUGUGUAAUCCCAUCUUGUGGACUAACCCGUGUUAAAAAGAUUUGUUUGCUGAUUUGAUUCUUCCCUCCACUACACCCCCCCAUAACACAAAAUGAGUCCCUUAAAAGCAGAAAUGUUGCCUCACUGGUCUCCAGCACCCAGUGGAGUAUUUGGUAUGAAUGUCGGUCGAACUGUACUCUCUCCAGUGUGCAUUUUGUUCCAGGAAGACUAGGUAAUAGCAGGAGCAUUAGAAGCCUCAUCUUCAGGGCUGUUUGACAUUGAUUUUUUAAAAAAUACAUUUCCUGAGGUCUCACUAGUGCCAGAAUAUGAAAAAAAUAAUCAUUCUUCUCUGACUAAAGUGGAAUCACCAGUGAUUUAUUCUCUCCUUAAUCAGUAAUACUAGCUAACAUUUAUAUAGCCCUCACUAGGUCCCAAGCACUUUGAACAUAUCAUCUUAUUUCAUGUCUAUAACCACCUUCAGGUAGGCACUGUUGUUACCCUCCAAUUUACAAAGGAGGAAACUGAAGUGCAGGGAGGUUAAGUAAGUGGCAAGCUAGAAUCUGGAUACAGGUUGUCUGGUUCCAGGGACCAGGCAGUUAGCCAUUAUGCUAUGCGGCAUGAUUUCUUGCUUUCCUUGCCCUUUUUUCUUAAAUGUUUAAUUACAUAAGUAGCAUAUCAAUACAUUUAAAUUGUCAAAAAUUCAGAAACAAAGCAAAAACUCACUACUAUUUGAUGGGUAUCUUUCAAGAUCUUUUUCUUUGUUUACAUACAUAUAUACAUUAUGUGUGUGUACAUAUACACAAAGAAAUAUGUAUUUUUAUGUAACUGGAUUAUGCCUUAUUUUUCUAUAGAUUUGUUUUCAUUUAACAAUUUGUCUUAAAGGUCUUUUCAUAUCGAUGCAUAUUGAUCUAUUUUAUUCUUUGAAUGUUGCAUAGUAUGGAUAUAUUCCAUAGAAUGGGUGUAAUAUAGUUUAGGUAACCAUUUUUCUUUUGCGAGUCAUUUAUGUUGUUUCUGAUUUCACUGUUACAAACCAGGCUGCACUGAGUAUCCUUGAACAUGUCUCUUCACAUUCAUGCAACUAUACGUCUAGGAAAGAUCCUCAGAAAUAAAAUUGUUGGGAUGAAG
ensembl:lncRNA novel transcript